rnacentral:rRNA from 1 species
UACGUAGGGGGCAAGCGUUGUCCGGAAUCAUUGGGCGUAAAGCGCGUGUAGGCGGCCACGUUAGUCCGUUCUGAAAGCCCGGGGCUCAACCCCGGGAGGCGGAUGGAUACUGCGUGGCUCGAGUCCGGAAGAGGCGAGUGGAAUUCCUGGUGUAGCGGUGAAAUGCGCAGAUAUCGGGAGGAACACCAAUGGCGAAGGCAGCUCGCUGGGACGUGACUGACGCUGAGACGCGAAAGCGUGGGGAGCAAACAGGAUUAGAUACCCU